rnacentral:rRNA from 1 species
AUUGAACGCUGGCGGCAUGCCUUACACAUGCAAGUCGAACGGUAACGGGCCUUCGGGUGCCGACGAGUGGCGCACGGGUGAGUAAUACAUCGGAACGUGCCCGAUCGUGGGGGAUAACGAGGCGAAAGCUUUGCUAAUACCGCAUACGAUCUACGGAUGGAAGCAGGGGACCGCAAGGCCUUGCGCGGACGGAGCGGCCGAUGGCAGAUUAGGUAGUUGGUGGGAUAAAAGCUUACCAAGCCGACGAUCUGUAGCUGGUCUGAGAGGAUGAUCAGCCACACUGGGACUGAGACACGGCCCAGACUCCUACGGGAGGCAGCAGUGGGGAAUUUUGGACAAUGGGCGCAAGCCUGAUCCAGCCAUGCCGCGUGCAGGAUGAAGGCCUUCGGGUUGUAAACUGCUUUUGUACGGAACGAAAAGCCUUCUUUUAAUACAGGAGGGUCAUGACGGUACCGUAAGAAUAAGCACCGGCUAACUACGUG